rnacentral:lncRNA from 1 species
UUGUACUGCACAAGAGUUAUUUCAGAAAGGGGGCAGAAGUUGCAAUACAAAUGUAUAAAAUCAUGAUAAACAAUAUUUGCAUAAAAAUUGAAUAAAAAGCACAAAGUGAUUACUAUUCCAUGUCAUUUAGAGAGUAUUCCUCUUUGUCAUGCAAUUAUAAUGAGCACUGACUGACACAUGUCCCAUUUUUCGAUAG